GACGAACGCUGGCGGCGUGCCUAAUACAUGCAAGUAGAACGCUGAAGAGAGGAGCUUGCUCUUCUUGGAUGAGUUGCGAACGGGUGAGUAACGCGUAGGUAACCUGCCUUGUAGCGGGGGAUAACUAUUGGAAACGAUAGCUAAUACCGCAUAACAAUGGAUGACACAUGUCAUUUAUUUGAAAGGGGCAAUUGCUCCACUACAAGAUGGACCUGCGUUGUAUUAGCUAGUAGGUGAGGUAAUGGCUCACCUAGGCGACGAUACAUAGCCGACCUGAGAGGGUGAGCGGCCACACUGGGCAGGGAACACGGCCCAGACCCCUGGGGGAGGGACAAGUAGGGGAUCUUGGGAAAGGGGGGCAGCCCGGACCGAGCAACGCGGGGGGAGGGAAGAGUGUUUGCGGAUCGAAAGGCUCUGUUGAAGGUAAAGAAGGGGUGUGGGAGUGGAAAGUGCACACGGUGACGGUAGCUAACAAAAAAGGCACGGCUAACUACGUG
rnacentral:rRNA from 1 species